GCUUUUCUUUUGCAAAAAAAGUUAAUUUUAUUUUUUGUUACUAUACUAGUAUUUUGGAUUAUGUAGAUUGAAAUUGAAAUCAGUAAUGGCAAGGUCCGUCCCAUUCCGCCUACAUCCUCGUACCCCCGUUCUCCUACUUCACUCCCCCUUUUCCACCUCCCUCGUCUUUCACGUCAAUCCGUCUCUUCCCCACACCGAUUCCCCUCUCUCUCCUCUCCCACAAUCACCACUCCCUCUUUCAAUCCAUUUCCCUUUUCCGCGCCGCCCAAUUUCUCCAUCUCCGCUACCGCGAUCGCAUCUUGAGCUGAAGAAGGCGCUGCCACCCCUAGUGAAAGUUAUAUGCAGUGUCUGGUCGGGCUUUUGGCAGUGGCAGUGGACUUAGAGGAUUAGAGUUGACUGCUAAGGAAGAUGAAGAAGGGGGGGGGGGCACUAUCUCCCCAGCCACUUGCCAGAGAUAGGAAGUAGAACCUUGGGGUGAUGUAGGGUGGUACUGGUACAUGAAGCGAAGAUGGUGGGUGUUGUAACAUAUGGGUCAACUGUUGUCUCUACACAGCUAACAGGGUAAUCGAAUGUUGUAGGUGCCGAUGACUUCUUUAAUGUAUAGAUUGGAUGAUAUUUUGAAACCAGUUCCCAUCUAGGUGUACCAUUCAUUGCCUUGUCUAACCUAACCUAACCUAACCUAACCUAACCUAUCCAUUGUCUUCUCUAACCUAUCAAGACUACUCUCCAUCUGCCCUGUGGUUACCAUAUAUUUUCACCACUUUUUUGAGACUGAAAUACAUAUUGAAACUAUCCUCUUAUGAGGCCACUCUCUACAAGGCCCUACCAUAAAUUGCCAUCCAUAUACUAAACUCAAGAUUUCCCCCCACUUCUCUAAACUAGGUGACCAUAAUAGAUGACAUUUCUACUUGGAGCUACAAAUAGUAAUUAAUAUUAUUGAUUGCAUCUCAUGAUUACUAAUUGCCGUUGCAAUUAUUAUUCUCCACUUUUAGCCAUUAGCACCAAUUGUCCAACUUGGAUGUGUAAUAUAAAUGCGCUAUCAGUUUGGUUCAUGGAAAGCCCUGAUGCUCCAUACUCCCCAUUAUUUUCUGCAUUUCUACAUUGCUAUUUAUAUCUUGCUUUGGCUUGGUGGGGAGUGGAAUCCAAUUUUCAUCAGGAUUUUAGUGUUUAUUAUCCAUAUUUUGUAGCUGUGUAUCCUACUCCAUGUUUUUGGUUAUUAAAGAGUAACAAUCCUUUUUAGGUUUGGAAGAAAUGCAUAUAAUGAUCUGUUUAAACGGUACACUUGGAGUUAAUUGUGAGUUUGCAUGAGUUAAUCUUUUCUCAUUACAUGCAAAAUAUCUAGAAAAUGCUUUGAAAUUGUCCCGCUUCCAUUAAAGGAAAAAUUGAUGGACUUUAGUUGCUAACCAUAGAAGGAAUGAUUGAACAAAUGCCCUUGUGCAACUUUCGAUAAUGGAUUGACUAGUUUGAUCUCUAAUUGCUGACGGAAGGCACAGAUUGCUAAUCAUUGUUGCCUCUUCCUUGUAUGAUAUGAAUACAGCCUGCUCUGCUACUGUAAUACAAUACCUGAGCUAAGAACCUAACUAAGGCAGUAUGGCAUCUAUAAAGCAAGGACUAUAUGGAAGUGGGUUCUAACUUGCUUUGCCGGCAUGAACAAAAACCAUUAGGAAGGAUCCACUCUUGGCUAAGCUCUUUGGGCAGACUUUCUUUAUCCACUAACUUAUUCAACCCACUUUUCUUUACAUUUCUUAAAAUCCGCACCCACACUAAAUGUGACACUUAAUGCGGGACGGAGGUAGUAUAUUAUACACCCCAACCCCACCCCUCAUAUAAAAAGGGCAGCACCGAAGAAAGGAAAGAGCGAGAUGGUGGUUUUUGAAUCGCUGAUUGAGCUUUCUACAAACAAAGCAAGCUACAACAUUUAUCUUAUCUAACCUUCUUGCCUGUGUAUAGCUCCCCUCUAUAACUUGACACAGGCUCUGAAUUUUGAGAUUCACACGUUGCUAAUUAUUUUGUAAACUGUAGUGCUUAAGUAAUGGUGAUUGUGGUGCAGUGAGUUAGAAAAUUUAAAGUAUGAUUGUUUCUGUAAAGAUCCCUUCGUAGGUAUGUGAUGUUUACUUGAGCUUGGUUUAUGGAUACCUUAUUGAUUGGUUUUGCUAAGAAGUGUGGCUGAUAGAAAAUGAUUUGGACGGCUGCUGGAUUUACCACUGUUUUGCUAAAGAAAAGCAGCUCAGCUACUUAUUCAGCCACAGAAACAACUCAAUCGAACGAAUCACAUAUAGAAGAGAAGAAGCCCUUUUCUGUUGAAAACUUGAUGUUGGGUGCAUUUGAGAAGCUGUUCUCCUUUCUUCUUAACUUGCCUGAUGCAAACUGGUCAAAGCUCAUUCAGUAUCAAUAGGAAUUGAGUGUGUGUUUGAGGAGACUGCGAAAGAUCAUAUCCAUCCUCUCGAGGGGUCAGCCACCUUGUCCUCAACUGUAUCUGUAUAGUACUGGAGAUAAGGUUAUCCCAUUUCAAAGAGUCGAGACAUUCAUGGAGGAGCAGAGGAAAAAUGGGAAACACGUCUUCUCUUUUGAUUUUGGCUCAUCUCCUCAUGUCGAUCAUUAUCGCACAUUUCCUCAUGUGUAUGCUUCUCAACUCGACAAUUUUUUGAAAGAAUGUUUGAGCUUUGUGGAGAAGUUGUAGAAGGGUAUGUUGCUUCUUUUGGUCGAACCAAUAGUAGUACUAAUUUUUAUUAAGAACAACUCAUAUUUGCAACAAUUCCUUUUAACCACAAGCGUCAUUUUAUAUUUGUAACACUAUUAUAUCAUAUGUAAGAAUAUUAACACAGUAUAAAGAGAGUAGCAUUGAAUUUAUUUAACUUUUUA